rnacentral:lncRNA from 1 species
AGGCUGGUUUAGUGUUGCUGAAUUCUCUCAGCUUUUGCUUAUCUGUGAAGGUUUUGAUUUCUCCUUCAAAUCUGAAUGAGAGCCUUGCUGGGUAGAGUAAUCUUGGUUGGAGGUUUUUUCCUUUCAUCACGUUAAGUAUAUCAUGCCACUCCCUUCUGGCCUGCAGAGUUUCUGCUGAAAAAUCUGCCGAUAACCUUAUUGGGGUUCCCUUGUAUGUUACUUGUUUCUUUUCCCUAGCUGCUUUCAAGAUUUUCUCUUUGUCUUUAAUUUUGGUCAGUUUGAUUAAUAUGUGUCUCGGUGUAUUCCUCCUUGGGUUUAUUUUAUAUGGUACUCGUUGUGCCUCCUGGAUUUGAGUGAGUGGUUCCUUUCCCAUGUUAGGGAAGUUUUCGGCUAUUAUCUCUUGGAAUAUUUUUUCUGUCCCCUUCUCUCUCUCUUCUCCUUCUGGCACCCCUAUAAUACGGAUGUUGGUGCGUUUAACAUUGUCCCAGAGUUCUCUGAGACUCUCUUCAUUUGUUUUCAAUCUUUUUUCUCUUUUCUGUUCUGCAUCCGUAAUUUCCACUAAUCUGUCCUCCACCUCGCUUAUUCGUUCUUCUGCCUCCUGUAUUCUGCUGUUAGCUGCUUCUAGUGAAUUUUUUAUUUCAGUUAUUGUAUUUUGCAUCUCUUCUUGUUUAAGUUUUAUAUCUUGUAUCUCUUUGGUCAGUGUUUCCUGUAAGUUAUCCAUCUUUGCCUCCAGUUUAUUUCCAAUGUCUUGCAUCAUCUUCAGCAUCAACAGUCUAAAGUCUUUUUCCUGGAGGCUGAGAAUCUCCUCAUCGCUUAGCUGAUUUUCUGGGGUUUUUCCUUUCUCCCUCAUCUGAGUUAUAGUUCUCUGUCUUUUCAUUUUUAUAGGUUUUUGGUGUGGUGACCUUUUUACAGAUAAUAGAGUUGUAGCCUCUCUUACUUCUGGUGUCUGCCCCCCUUGUGGCUGAAGUCAGUAUGGGGGCUUGCUGUAGGCUUCCUGAUGGGAGGGGCUGAUGCCUGCCCACUGGUAGGUGGAGCUGAUUCUAAUCCCUCUGGUGGGUGGGGCUUAGUCUCUGGAUGGGAUUAGAGGCAGCUGUGUGCCUGAGGGGUCUUUAGGUAGCCUGUUUACUGAGGGGUGGGGCUGUGAUCCCACCUGGAUUGUUGUUUGCCCUGGGGCUUCUCAGCACUGACUGACGGGUGGGGCCAGAUUUUCCCAAAAUGGCCACCUCCAGAGAAAGGCAGCUGCUGAAUAUUCCCGAGAGCUUUGCCUUCAAUGUCCUUCCCUCACAACAAGCCACAUUCACCCCUGUUUUCCCAGGAUGUCCUCCAAGAACUGCAGUCAGGUUUGACCCAGAUUCCUAUGGAGACCUCGCUCUGCCCUGGGACCCAGUGCACGUGAAAGUCCGUGUGCGCCUUUUAAGAAUGGGGUCUCCGUUUCCCCCAGUCCUGUGGAGCUCCUGCGCACAAGCCCCACUGGCCUUCAAUGCCAGAUGCUCCAGGGGCUCUUUCUCCCAGUGCCAGAUCCCCACACGUGAGGGUUUGAUGUGGGGCUCAGAACUCUCACUCCUGUAGGUGAGUCUCUGUGAACCAGUUAGUUUCCAGUCUGUGGAGCUUCCCACCCAGGAGGUAUGGGGUUGUUUAUAUCAUGAAAUCGCCCCUCCUACCUCUUGAUGUGGCCUCCUCUUUUUCUUCUGGAGUAGGGUAUCUUUUUUAAGGUUUCUGGUCCAUUUUGGUGACGUGUGCUCAGUCUUUAGUUGUGAUUUUCGUUGUUUUUAGGAGAGAAGUUGAGCUCCAGUCCUUCUAUUCCGCCAUCUUAAUCCCGUCUCCUCAAGGAUGGGUAGUCUUUAGGUGUUAUUUCUUGAAUCUAGAGUUAGCUUUGGUUAAAAAAAAAAAAAAGUUUCCACCACCAGAGGGAUUAUAAUACCCAGGUCAGAACAGUCCUCUCUAUUUGUAUAAAUAACUACCUCUGUAAUGAUGAAUAGCACCAUGUUAGAACCAUUUUACUGGUUUUGUUUGUUUGUUUGUUUAACAUUCUUUCCAAACUUGAUUUUGAGAACCACAUCUUGCUGGUUUGGGCUUGUCUUGUCAGACUCCUUCUGCAAAUUACUGAAUUGCACUGCCUGUGCAAGGAGUAUAUGUGGGUCCACAGAGCUGCCUGAUGAAAGUGGUACUGGCACAGCAUUUAUAGUGAACGUCCCCCAGGCUGUCUUCUCCUUGGACAUGCCAGAGAGAUUCAGCUAUUCUGUGCCAGUGUUUUCUCUUUCUCCCUUCUCCAAGGUGGCUCUCACUUUGUUACUGACGCCUGAAGUUUUGCAAUGGAGAACAGAAGGAAAACGUGAAAGUCAGCAGGCCAGUGAAGGGCAGUGACAGUCCUGGCUGGAAGGGAGUUUGCAGAGACACUGAAGAAAGUAUCCCAAGUGAAAUUGUAAAUUCCCUGUAAGAACUGUUAAAGUGGCGCUUAGCAUGUGUCAGCUUUGUAUGAAAGAGAAAGUGAUUGGAUUUGUGACACCUUACAAAAGAAGGGUGUUUUGUUGUUGUGAAGUUAUACAUCUUUUCUAUGAAGAAAUACAAGUGGUACACAUAAUUUUGAAAUUACAUUUGAUUUCACAGACUAACAUAAAUUAUUCCUUUUUUACCUUUUAGACCAAGACUACAGUAGAAUUGCACUUGCCCAUGACAGGCCAUUUUUUCAACCUGCUUGGUGUGAAUCUUUGUUGUUAUGUAUUGUUGCAAAAUGUAUAUGUUGUUUGCAUACUUUUUAAUUUAUAUAAAUAGCCUCCUCCUCUUUGGCACAUGUUUCUUAGAUGUUUUCAUCCAUCACUUAGAUUUGAGAUUCGUCUGUGUUCCAAUGUGUACACUUAAUGUAAUGCUUUCAUAAUAUAAUCCUAAUGUAAUGCAGCCUAAAACUCCAAGUUUACCACUCCACUCUUCUGGUGCUAACCACACAGACUGACCACAGUUCUCAGCCUCUAUACACAGUGCCACAAUACACAUUUUUGCAUGUAUUACUUUAUGAAUCUGAGGCAUAUUUAGAGCGAUAAUAUUUGAGAUGCAUUUCCAGGAGUGGAAUUGCUAAGUCAAAAUAUAUGCAUGUCUUUAAUUCAUCCAUCAGUACCUGUCCAAGGCAGAUGCUUCAUCUCCUGUCCCUGAGACAUGAAGCGAGGGUUUCUGUGGCCUCCAUUACCACUACCUGGCCUCCUUGUCAGACUAAUAGGUUUAAUCUGCUUUUUUAGUAGGUAUUUUAAUUCUAGACAGUAUUAUUUUAACUGUCUUGAUAUUUUCAAACUGAGUUAUGUGGGUUAUAGCUUUAUAAGUACUACAAACCUAUACUUUCCAUUUAGGGUAAAGCAAAUAAAAUUAUACCAGUCAAGAGAAAGGUCAAAGUCUCCAUUUAACUUGUUCCAUUUAGGAAGAGAAGGAGAAGGUAAAAGUCAAAGAACUCACAUAGGCAAUUGAGAACUUAGCACAGUGGCUUUCACCCUUAUAGUGACCAGAAGAACAUUUUAUGAUAAAUGCUUCAUAAUGCCAUUUUAAUAUUUUGAAGUGAAAUUUAUAGGUAAUGUAACAUAUCACAGUAUAUUUUGUUUUAAAAAUUUUUUUAUUAAAGUAUAAUUGAUUUACAGUAUUGUGCCAAUUUCUGCUAUACAGCAUAGUGAACCACUCACUAUGCUGAACAGUAGGACUUCAUUGCUUAUCCACUCUAAAUGUAACAUCAACCCCAAACUCCCCAUCCAGCCCACUCCUUAUCCCUCCCUCUUGGCAACCACAGGUCUGUUCUCCAUGUCUGUGAGUCUGUUUCUGUUCUGUAUAUAGGUUCAUUUGUGCCAUAUUUUAAAUUCCACAUAUAAAUCUUAUCAUAUGGUAUUAUGCAAUAUAUUUUAAAUGUUGCUCUAGGACUAAUAUAAAGCAGAAACAAAAGGAAAGUAAUUUAUAUUGAAUUAAUAUGUUUUUGACUAUGCAAAUGGCCAGGAAGUUCUAGUAAAAAAGCCAUAAAGAUAUAAACUCUUACAUCUAUACAUAGAAUCCCAAUGAGAUCAACAGCUAGAGAAGCUGCUUGAAACAGGUGCAUUUUAUUAGCAAUUCAAAUAUUACAGCAUUGUUGCUCAUGAUGUGUUUUUCCAAAAGAGUGAACAAUUCUCAGCAGCUUUCUUAACAAAAAAAAGUGAAACCCUGCCUCAAGUUAAAGGUAGUUGCACUCCUGGAAAAUUCAGUAAUGUUAAAACUAUUAAAAAAAAAAAGCAAGCUUUUAAAAGGUAAAAUGGAGUUAGAUUGCAGGCUCAAAGAUUUUGAGCAAGGUUUUCCUCCUGCAUUAAUUUUCCUUAAGACAUUCAAAAGUGAUGUGGAAUGAAUACAGGGUGAUUCAUUUUUGAUGACCCUCCCAUUCUCUCCUAUGUUUGCCUCUACCUGCAAAACACUAGCAGCAUCCAUUGCACAGUCAAAACAGCUUCUAGAUGUGCAACAUUACUGGCUUGGCUAAAUGAUCCUUGAAACCAAGUCUAAACAUGUUAUAACUGUUUUAACUUGGCUUAAAUCUUUUUAACCUAACAAGUCGCCAGAACCAUUUACUGUUCAAUAAAGCAAAUACUAACAGGAAUUCCCUUGUGGUGCAGUGGGUUAAGGAUCUGGCAUUGUCACUGAAGUGGUUCAGGUCACUGCUCUAGUGCAGUGACAUAGGUUCAAUCCCUGGCCUGGGAAUUUCCACAUGGCAUGAGUGUGUCCCCCUAAAAAAAGCAAACACUAACUUGCUAACUGUUCAGUUUAAUUAAGUCGCAUAUAUCAAACCAUGAUGUAUGGAAAGGAAAAAUAAACAACUAAAUUUAAUGAAUCCAAGUUUAAUAUCUCUUUCAUCAUAUGUAGGAGAAGCAAUCAUUGAUGAGAAUGGAAAUUAUAGGUUUUUUGGAGUUCCUGUCGUGGCUCAGUGGUUAGCAAAUCUGACUAGGAACCAUAAGGUUGCCAGUUCGAUCCCUGGCAUUGCUCAGUGGCUUAAGGAUCCGGCGUUGCCAUGAGCUGUGGCGUAGGUUGCAGACACGGCCAGGAUCCUGUGUUGCUGUGGCCCUGGCAUAGGCCAGAGGCUACAGCUCUGAUUAGACCCCUAGCCUGGGAACCUCCAUAUGGUGUGGAAGCGGCCCUAGAAAAGGCAAAAAUAAAAAAAAAAAAAAAAAA